rnacentral:rRNA from 1 species
AGAGAGAGACAUGCGCGCAUAUCAAUAAGCGGAGGAAAAGAAACUAACAAGGAUUCCCCUAGUAACGGCGAGUGAAGCGGGAAGAGCUCAAAUUUGAAAUCUUCAAGGUUUUACCUUGACGAAUUGUAGUUUAAAGAAGUGUUUUCUGUUGGAGUUUUGGUAAAAGUUCUUUGGAAUAGGACAUCAUAGAGGGUGAGAAUCCCGUAUUUGACCAUUAUUUCCAACUUUGUGAUACACUUUCAAAGAGUCGGAUUGUUUGGGAAUGCAGUCCAAAAUGGGUGGUAAAUUUCAUCUAAAGCUAAAUAUUGGCGAGAGACCGAUAGCGAACAAGUACCGUGAGGGAAAGAUGAAAAGAACUUUGAAAGGAGAGUUAAACAGUACGUGAAAUUGUCAAAAGGGAAGCGUUUGACACCAGUGUUGUUUUCUCGAAAUCAAUUAUGAAAUGGCCUGAUUUUAAGUUUAUUGACCUUAAAAGCUGUUGCUUCACUCUUUUCAUUGUCUUUUGUAAUGCACUUUUCGGUUAACAAGUCAACAUCAAUUUCUUUUGUUGUAAAAGGGUCAGAUGGAAGGUGGCUUUACUUUCGGAGAAAGUGUUUAUAGCCUUUGAUCUCUGCAACCGGAGAGACUGAGGUCUGCAGCGUAGACUCUUCGGGGUUAGAUACAUUUGUGCUAAGUUAUAGCUUUGUAUAGACAACGUGUUGACUAUGAUCAGUCAUGUAGCUUACUCGCUUAUGCUAUUUUACCUACGCUUAGGAUGUUGACAGCAGUAUAGACUGU